CACGUGGGGCGCGAGCGUUGUCCGGAAUUAUUGGGCGUAAAGAGCUCGUAGGCGGCCUGUUGCGUCCGCUGUGAAAGCCCGGGGCUUAACCCCGGGUCGGCAGUGGAUACGGGCAGGCUAGAGGUAGGUAGGGGAGAAUGGAAUUCCCGGUGUAGCGGUGAAAUGCGCAGAUAUCGGGAGGAACACCGGUGGCGAAGGCGGUUCUCUGGGCCUUACCUGACGCUGAGGAGCGAAAGCGUGGGGAGCGAACGGG
rnacentral:rRNA from 1 species